GACGAACGCUGGCGGCGUGCCUAAUACAUGCAAGUAGGACGCAGUUGCGAACGGGUGAGUAACGCGUAGGUAACUACCUAUUAGAGGGGGAUAACUAUUGGAAACGAUAGCUAAUACCGCAUACUAGUAGAUGGACCUGCGUUGUAUUAGCUAGUAGGUAGGGUAAUGGCCUACCUAGGCAACGAUACAUAGCCGACCUGGGGGGGUGAUCGGGCACACUGGGAAUUGGACACGGGCCAGACUCCCACCGGAGGCAGCAGGAGGGAAUCUUCGGCAAUGGGGGGAACCCUUACCGAGCAAAGCCGCGUGAUGGAAGAAGGUUUUCGGGGCGUAAAGCUCUGUUUUUCAGGAAGCGGUACUUACACAGAAAGGGCCGGCUAACUACGUGCCAGCAGCCGCGGUAAUUC
rnacentral:rRNA from 1 species